CUGUCUGUACCAGGGCGGCGCGUGGUCUACGCCGAGUGACAGAGACGCUCAGGCUGUGUUCUCAGGAUGACCGAGUGGGAGACAGCAGCACCAGCGGUGGCAGAGACCCCAGACAUCAAGCUCUUUGGGAAGUGGAGCACCGAUGAUGUGCAGAUCAAUGACAUUUCCCUGCAGGUGAGGGGAACUUGGUGAUUGGCCUUCCUGGCUGGGGGCGGACAUUAUUCCAGGAAGGCACACAUCAAACUUGUUGCUGUGCCAUUAAGUCAAGAAUAGAGAUCAUAACAGGUAAAGAAGGGAUCCCUUGACCACCACAUCUACCACAUCUGCUCUUACGUCCUGUUCAAAGAUGACUACAACUUCUGUCAUGAGAGGACUCCUUCACCAGAAGGAGCAUCACAUCUCACAUAUGGUAUUUUUGUUACUGUUUUUGUAGUAAAAUACAUAACAUCCAGUGUCAUUCUUUUGCAUGUGAAUAUCCAGUUAUCCAGUACCAUCUCCUAAAGAGAUGUUUUUUUUCCCUCAA
rnacentral:lncRNA from 10 species